CUCUUCUUUUCUCCCAAGAGCCACCAGCCUACUCACCAAACCAUUACCAUAUUCCAACGAAGCUUCAAGUGCUCUAUGCUUGUCACUACUCCUCCUCCCCUGCGCUGACGUCCUCCUCUUUAGUGUUUUCCCUUUGCUUUUUUGAAAAAAAGUCUCCCUUUAAAUAAGCAGCCAAUUGGAUUCAAAGCGAAACCCAGAAGCUCCAAAAAACUACGUUGACACUUUGAAAACCCAAAAAUUCUUAUUGGAAUUAAGAAUCCCCCAACACAAGGAAUCUUACUCUUGUCUCCAACUCUACCCAACACGCAAACCCUAAAAAGUUCAAUCUCAAAACUACAAAUCUUCUUACUAACCCCACCAGUCCACCACCGGUUUCUUCUGUCUGUCUCUCUCUCUCUCUCUCUCUCUCUCUCUCUCUCCACUGUGUGAUACCUGUCGCAUUCAAUUACGACUUUCCAACACCUCUCGCUUUCUCUUUCUCUCUCUUACCUACAAAGUAUUAAUUAGGGUUUUCUUCUGUUGAAAUGAAUACUGGUUCUGGUGUAAAAGAUUCUGAAGACGGGUCCACUGACACCGGUCUUGAGGUAACUAGGGUUUCUGAAAGAGUAGAAGCUGCCGACGUUGAAGUUGAGGUUGCAGACAAGAAGGAAGAUCACAUGGAGGAAGAAUCCACAACUCCGGCGACUGUGUUUCGAAUAAGACUUAAACAGCCUCGCUCGAAUUUAAGGCACAAGAUGAGUGUCCCGGAGCUCUGUCGGAAGUUCAGCUCUGUUGCCUGGUGUGGGAAACUGAAUGCUAUAGCGUGUGCGUCAGAGACUUGUGCAAGAAUUCCAAGUUCCAAUGCAAAUCCACCAUUUUGGAUCCCCAUACAUAUUGUGAAUCCAGAACGACCAACUGAAUGUGCAGUGUUCAAUGUCAUAGCAGAUUCUCCGCGUGACUCAGUUCAGUUUAUCGAGUGGUCUCCCAUUUCUUGUCCUCGUGCUUUACUGAUAGCUAAUUUUUAUGGGAGGAUAACUAUCUGGACUCAGCCUUCUCAAGGGCCUGCCAAUUUAGUGAGAGAUGCUAGUUGCUGGCAAUGUGAAUAUCAGUGGCAUCAGGAUAUUGCAGUUAUUACAAAAUGGUUAUCAGGGACGUCUUUGUAUAGGUGGUUUUCCUCGAAUUCUAGUGGUACUGGGAACUCAAAAACAGCUUUUGAGGAAAAGUUUCUUCCUCAGCAGCCUCAAGCUUCAGCUAGGUGGCCAAAUUUUCUUUGUGUUUGCUCUGUUUUCUCAUCGGGCUCUGUCCAGCUUCACUGGUCGCAAUGGCCCCCCUCACAGAGUGGCGAACAGUCGAAGUGGUUUUCUACAAGCAAAGGACUAUUGGGAGCUGGGCCUAGUGGUAUAAUGGCUGCCGAUGCCAUCAUAACUGAAGCAGGCACAAUGCAUGUAGCUGGUGUUCCAAUUGUAAACCCAUCUACUGUAGUUGUUUGGGAAGUUACACCUGGUCCUGGCAAUGGUUUUCAGGCGUCUGCAAAGACUAGUACCAGUAAUGUUGUCCCACCUUCAUUAAACCCUCCUUGCUGGGCUGGUUUUGCCCCUCUGGCUGCAUAUUUAUUCAGUUGGCAAGAGUAUUUGGCAUCUGAAGGGAAGCGAGGAAAUAAACAGACGGAUCAAGAGUCAAGUGAGACAUUGUCACUCCAUUGUUCACCAGUGUCAAAUUUUUCUGCAUAUGUAAGCCCUGAAGCAGCAGCUCAAUCAACAGCCACCACCACAUGGGGUUCUGGAGUUACUGCAGUUGCAUUUGAUCCAUCCCGGGGAGGGUCUGUUAUAGUUGUUGUAAUCGUUGAAGGGCAGUACAUGUCACCUUAUGAUCCUGAUGAGGGUCCAUCAAUCACAGGAUGGAGAGUGCAAUGUUGGGAAUCAUCUCUUCAACCUGUUGUCCUCCAUCCUAUAUUUGGGAACCCCACAUCUAGUUUUGGAGGGCAGGCACCGAUGCAGACAGUUUGGUUGACUAGGGUAAACAAAAGCAUUCCUCCAACGAGUGACUUCAAAAUUUCACUAGCAGCUGCUGCGGCAGGACCGAUAUCUGAUCGGCGUAAUGCAUCAGAUUCAAGUACUGAGAAGGCAAACAGAGUCAGUUUUGACCCCUUCAAUCUUCCAAGCGAUGUUAGAACUCUGGCUCGUAUUGUUUAUUCUCCUCAUGGUGGUGAGGUUGCUGUUGCUUUUCUUCGGGGUGGGGUCCACAUAUUUUCUGGUGCAACUUUUGCACAAGCUGAUAGCUUCAUUGUUAAUGUUGGUUCGGCCAUUCCUGCACCUGCUUUCUCUUCAACUAGCUGCUGCUUGGCUUCUGUUUGGCAUGAAAACAACAAGGAUCACACUAUAUUGAAGAUUAUGCGUGUUCUUCAUCCUGCAAUUUCUGGAAGUCAGGUGAAAGUAAAAGCAACAUGGGAACGUGCUAUUGCAGACAGGUUUUGGUGGAGUCUUUUGGUUGGAGUUGAUUGGUGGGAUGCUGUCGGCUGUACACAAAGUGCUGCAGAGGAUAGCAUUGUGUCACUGAACAGUGUGAUUGCAGUGUUGGAUGCGGAUUUCCAUUCUCUCCCCACUGCUCAGCAUAGGCAACAGCAUGGUCCUUCUCUAGAUAGGAUAAAGUGCAGGCUACUGGAAGGUACAAAUGCUCAAGAGGUUAGGGCAUUAGUGCUGGAUAUGCAAGCGAGGUUGUUGCUGGAUAUGCUGGGUAAAGGAAUUGAAUCAGCUCUUAUAAAUCCUGCAACUCUAGUAAAUGAACCUUGGCAGGCGUCUGGUUGGACACUCCAAGGGAUUGACGCUGAUGCAAUGACUGUUGAACCAGCACUAGUUUCAAGUAUCCAGGCAUAUGUUGAUGCUGUACUAGAUCUUGCUUCACACUUCAUCACACGUUUACGGCGUUAUGCAAGCUUUUGUCGUACGUUGGCAAGUCAUGCUGUAGGAGCAUCUGCUGGCACAGGCAGUAACCGGAGUAUGGUUGCUAGCCCAACACAUAAUUCAGCGUCUCCAUCAACAAGUCAGGGUGGUCAAAGUGGAACAGCAAAUUCCACUGGCAGCUCCCAGAUGCAAGCUUGGGUGCAAGGCGCUAUUGCUAAAAUUAGUGGCACUGCUGAUGGAGUUUCCUAUUCAACACCAAAUCCUAUUAGUGGUCCACCUCCAUUUACACCAAUUAGUAUUAAUACAGGGACCUUUCCAGGGACACCUGCUGUCAGGCUAAUUGGAGACUGCCAUUUUCUACAUAGAUUAUGCCAGCUUUUGCUUUUCUGUUUUUUCUUUCGGCGUAGACAGCCCCGCUAUAGUGGUGCUGCACAGAGAAACCCGGACUCUAAUUCACAGAAACCCCAGCCUACUGCUCCUGGGGAAGUGGAGGAGAUGAACUCUGUUUCGGCAAGACCAGCGUCGAGUGGACAGAUUGCUACUGGAGCAAAAGAAAGAACAGGUUCUGGAAAUGCUGGUCAGGGAUACACAUUUGAGGAGGUAAAAGUCCUUUUCCUCAUACUGAUGGAUCUCUGUCGGCGAACAGCAGGUUUGGCGCACCCACUGCCAGUUUCUCAGGUUGGGGGUGGCAAUAUCCAAAUCCGCUUGCAUUAUAUUGAUGGGAACUACACCGUCUUACCAGAAGUUGUAGAAGCAUCCCUUGGUCCACAUAUGCAGAAUAUGCCGCGUCCUCGAGGUGCGGAUGCUGCUGGUUUGUUGCUUCGUGAGUUAGAACUACACCCUCCAGCUGAAGAAUGGCAUAGACGUAAUAUGUUUGGUGGUCCAUGGUCUGAUCCUGAGGAUUUGGGUGCUGUGGAUGACACUUGCAAACUGAGCAAUUCUUCUGAUCUGUUUGAGUUUAGUUCAUCCGAAGAUUGUGAGAGUUAUUAUGAAGCCCAUGGCCUCUGGCCUAGGAAGCGCAGACUGUCGGAAAGAGAUGCAGCUUUUGGCUUGAAAACUUCUGUGGGACUAGGAACAUAUCUUGGAAUUAUGGGAUCACGAAGAGAUGUUGUCACAGCCGUAUGGAAAGCCGGUCUUGAAGGGGUUUGGUACAAGUGCAUAAGAUGUUUGCGGCAAACUUCAGCAUUUGCUUCACCUGGAAAUAGCAACUCUCCUAACCAGAAUGAUCGGGAGGCAUGGUGGAUAAGCCGCUGGUCGUAUGGUUGCCCGAUGUGUGGUGGAACAUGGGUUCGAGUUGUAUAGAUAACUACAUGCACUGAUUAAGCCACAGGGUGAAUAUUUAGAACUUUUUCAACUUUUCUUCUGAGUGGAAGGCCCAACUCUUACCAUGAUCAAUUCUCCAUCAAAUAUUUCAUGAGACUUGGCCUGAGGAUGGUUCUUACAGGUUACCUUCUGGAUGGUUGCCGAUCCAAGUUACUUCAAAAUCCUGGGCAUUAUCAUGAUGGAACAAUGCAUUCGCCACAUGGGGAGAUCAAAUGCAAGAAUUGUUGGAUCAGAAAUGUUUCACAAUGUUUGAGAUCGAAGUCUGAACAUGAGCCCAGCUUGCAUUUGCUCAUUAGAUUGGUGUUUGUUGUUGCCUGCCUGAUCCUCACAAGGCUUUCUUUUUAAGCUGUUGCCACUCCAUGUACAUAGUUGUCAAGGCAUCACCUAAGCGUCUAAACUCUUUCUUAUGAUCAAGGUGAUAACAUGACAUGUUGUAUAAUUCAUCAUUGUAAAUAUUGCUAUCCAACAAGCAUGAAAGUUUUGAACUA